AUAUGCUUGUCCCGAAGCUUAAGCCAUGCAUGUCUCCGAAUAACUAGUAGCUUGAUCCCGAAUCUGCGAACGGCUCCGUAUAUCUGUUGUAACCCGCCACCGCCCAGGCUUUCCCGGCAUAACCACGGUAAUUCUGUGGCUAAUACGUGUAACCCUAGGGCCCCUCCUACCCCGGGAGGGGCCCGGGCUCGCCGCCCAACCAACGCGGGUUUUACCCGCUGCGCGAGAGCUGGCGAGUGUCCCUUACCGCAGCCUGCCUGUGGAGCGUGUGACGGGCUUCAGACCUAUCAACUAGACGGCCAGGGAUAGCCUGGCCGCGGUUAUUACGGGUACAGAGGAUCAGGGUUCGGUCCUGGAGAGGUAGCCUGAGAGAUCGCUACUACUUCUAAGGAAGGCAGCAGGCGCGCAACGUUCCCAAUGGGGAUACCCUGAGGACGUGAAGGGACAUACCAAUGCCCGGCCCUUAAAGCCGGGCAAUUGGAAUGGGGGACCUCUAAACCCCACACCGAGUAACA
rnacentral:rRNA from 1 species